rnacentral:rRNA from 1 species
UACGUAGGGGGCGAGCGUUGUCCGGAAUCAUUGGGCGUAAAGAGCGUGUAGGCGGUUCGGUAAGUCUGCCGUGAAAACCUGGGGCUCAACCCUGGGCGUGCGGUGGAAACUGUCGAGCUAGAGGAUGGUAGAGGGGAGUGGAAUUCCCGGUGUAGCGGUGAAAUGCGCAGAUAUCGGGAGGAACACCUGCGGCGAAGGCGGGUUGCUGGGCUGAUACUGACGCUGAGGCGCGAAAGCUAGGGGAGCGAACGGG